rnacentral:rRNA from 1 species
AGCGAACGUUAGCGGCGCGCCUAACACAUGCAAGUCGCACGAGAAAGGGCUUCGGCCCCGGUAAAGUGGCGCACGGGUGAGUAACACGUGGGCAACCUGCCCAACCCUGGGGGAUAACCUGCCGAAAGGCGGGCUAAUACCGCGUACGAGGGCUCGACUUCGGUCGGGUUCUGAAAGCAGGCCUCUGUAUACAAGCUUGUGGGGUUGGAUGGGCCCGCGCUCCAUCAGCUAGUUGGUGAGGUAACGGCUCACCAAGGCUACGGCGGAUAGCUGGUCUGAGAGGAUGAUCAGCCACACUGGAACUGAGACACGGUCCAGACUCCUACGGGAGGCAGCAGUGGGGAAUCCUGCGCAAUGGACGAAAGUCUGACGCAGCGACGCCGCGUGGGUGACGAAGGCCUUCGGGUUGUAAAGCCCUGUGGGGUGAGACGAACAGCUGGGAUUCGAAUAGGGUCUUGGUCUGACGGUAUCACCUUAGCAAGCACCGGCUAACUCUGUGCCAGCCGCCGCGGUAAAAC